GAGUUUGAUCCUGGCUCAGGAUGAACGCCGGCGGUGUGCCUAAUACAUGCAAGUCGUACGCACUGGCCCAACUGAUUGAUGGUGCUUGCACCUGAUUGACGAUGGAUCACCAGUGAGUGGCGGACGGGUGAGUAACACGUAGGUAACCUGCCCCGGAGCGGGGGAUAACAUUUGGAAACAAAUGCUAAUACCGCAUAACAACAAAGGCCACAUGGCUUUUGUUUGAAAGAUGGCUUUGGCUAUCACUCUGGGAUGGACCUGCGGUGCAUUAGCUAGUUGGUAAGGUAACGGCUUACCAAGGCGAUGAUGCAUAGCCGAGUUGAGAGACUGAUCGGCCACAAUGGAACUGAGACACGGUCCAUACUCCUACGGGAGGCAGCAGUAGGGAAUCUUCCACAAUGGGCGCAAGCCUGAUGGAGCAACACCGCGUGAGUGAAGAAGGGUUUCGGCUCGUAAAGCUCUGUUGUUGGAGAAGAACGUGCGUGAGAGUAACUGUUCACGCAGUGACGGUAUCCAACCAGAAAGUCACGGCUAACUACGUGCCAGCAGCCGCGGUAAUACGUAGGUGGCAAGCGUUAUCCGGAUUUAUUGGGCGUAAAGCGAGCGCAGGCGGUUGCUUAGGUCUGAUGUGAAAGCCUUCGGCUUAACCGAAGAAGUGCAUCGGAAACCGGGCGACUUGAGUGCAGAAGAGGACAGUGGAACUCCAUGUGUAGCGGUGAAAUGCGUAGA
rnacentral:rRNA from 1 species